AAGACCUAUCAAGAAAAUUCCAGAAUUUUUGGAACCUUUUAUGGCAAAUAAUUCGAGCUUGGGAAGGCACGCGUCAACCAUGUACCAGUCGAUACGGGGAGGUGUUCGAGAGCUACACUGUCACAGAGGGGUGUCGUUCCGGAGCGUCAGUACCUUGUCGAUAUUUUAGAGUCCUUUGUCUGUUUUCAUAUUUAGAGUCUCUUGUAUUUCAUUUUAUAUUUGUAAUUACUAUUUGUAAUAUUUGACUUUGAUUUUAUAUUUAAUCUUGGUGUCCUUGA